rnacentral:tRNA from 1 species
GCCUUCGUGGUGUAAUGGUGAGCACACUUGGCGUGUAUUCGAGAGACCCAGGUUCGAGUCCCGGCGAGUGCA